rnacentral:rRNA from 1 species
UACGUAGGUGGCAAGCGUUGUCCGGAUUUACUGGGCGUAAAGAGCGCGCAGGCGGUCGAGUAAGUCGAAUGUGAAAGCCCCGGCUUAACUGGGGAGGGUCAUUCGAUACUGUUCGACUUGAAGGCAGGAGAGGGCAGCAGAAUUCCGUGGUGUAGUGGUGAAAUGCGUAGAUAUCGGGAGGAAUACCAGUGGCGAAGGCGGCUGCCUGGCCUGUUCUUGACGCUGAGGCGCGAAAGCUGGGGAGCAAACGGG